rnacentral:rRNA from 1 species
UCAUUACCGAGUUUACAACUCCCAACCCUAUGUGAACCUUACCUAUCGUUGCUUCGGCGGGCUUAGCCCCCGCGCCUUCGCCGGCGCCGGGAAACAGGCGCCCGCCGGAGACCCAAACUCAAUGUUUUUCAUGCAGUAUUAUCUGAGUGGCAAACGCAAAAAUAAAUCAAAACUUUUAACAACGGAUCUCUUGGCUCUGGCAUCGAUGAAGAACGCAGCGAAAUGCGAUAAGUAAUGUGAAUUGCAGAAUUCAGUGAAUCAUCGAAUCUUUGAACGCACAUUGCGCCCGCGAGUAUUCUCGCGGGCAUGCCUGUCCGAGCGUCAUUUCAACCCUCAGAGCCCGUCUGCUUGUCAGGCGCGGCGCUGGUGUUGGGGAUCGGCUUCACCGCCGUCCCCCAAAUACAGUGGCGGUCUCGCUGCAGCCUCCCCUGCGUAGUAGCAACACUCGCAUGCGGAGCGCGGCGCGGCCACGCCGUAAAACCCCCGACUUUCUGAACGUGACCUCGGAUCAGGUAGGAAUACCCGC